rnacentral:rRNA from 1 species
AGAACGAACGCUGGCGGCAGGCUUAACACAUGCAAGUCGAGCGCCCCGCAAGGGGAGCGGCAGACGGGUGAGUAACGCGUGGGAACAUACCCUCCGGUUCGGAAUAGCUCAGGGAAACUUGGAUUAAUACCGGAUACGGCCUAGCGGCGAAAGAUUCAUCGCCGGAGGAUUGGCCCGCGUUCGAUUAGCUAGUUGGUGAGGUAACGGCUCACCAAGGCGACGAUCGAUAGCUGGUCUGAGAGGAUGAUCAGCCACAUUGGGACUGAGACACGGCCCAAACUCCUACGGGAGGCAGCAGUGGGGAAUAUUGGACAAUGGCGCAAGCCUGAUCCAGCCAUGCCGCGUGAGUGAUGACGGCCUUAGGGUUGUAAAGCUCUUUCGCUAGGGACGAUAAUGACGGUACCUAGACAAGAACGCCCGGCUAACUUCGCGCCAGCAGCCGC